rnacentral:rRNA from 1 species
CCUACGGGUGGCAGCAGUGAGGAAUAUUGGUCAAUGGGCGCAAGCCUGAACCAGCCAAGUAGCAUGAAGGAUGACUGCCCUACGGGUUGUAAACUUCUUUUGUAAGGGAAUAAAGUGAGGCACGUGUGCCUUUUUGAAUGUACUUUAUGAAUAAGGAUCGGCUAACUCCGUGCCAGCAGCCGCGGUAAUACGGAGGAUUCGAGCGUUAUCCGGAUUUAUUGGGUUUAAAGGGAGCGUAGAUGGUUUGUUAAGUUAGUUGUGAAAGUUUGAGGCUCAACCGUAAAAUUGCAAUUGAUACUGUCAGGCUUGAGUAUAGUUGCGGUAGGCGGAAUUCGUGGUGUAGCGGUGAAAUGCUUAGAGAUCACGAAGAACUCCGAUUGCGAAGGCAGCUUACUAAACUGCCACUGACAUUGAUGCUCGAAAGUGUGGGUAGCAAACAGGAUUAGAUACCCGUGUAGUC